rnacentral:ncRNA from 1 species
GGGUGUUCGCUGCGAUAUGAGCGGGCAGGUUCACAUGUGUUGGUCGGGCCGCCAGCA